ACAACUUUAAUUUCAAGCAUCUUCCGCCUCUUCUUCUUCUGCACUGCGUUUACUUUGUGUGACCAAAAAUCCAAACUAAAGAUAUGGAGGUUCCAAUCUGGCAAUGGUGUUUGAUCGUCAUAGUGAUCAUAUUCUUGGCAAUUGCUUCCCAUUUUCUGGGAAGAAUCUUGUGUAGCCCUCGAGAGAGAAUCGCAGAUAGUAAAGCCGAGAAAAAACAUGGACCAGCCGAAGCAGACAAGACUGCGAAAGGUGGCUCCGACCAACUCGUGUGAUGAUCUCAAAGAGCAUGCAUAUAUCGUCAAGUUUGGUUUGUAAUUUGUAAGUUCAUUUUUUUUUUUACUAUUAUUGUAAAAUAAUACUAAUUGUUCACAUCCAUAUAUACAUAUAUGCGUAAAUAUAUAUAUGUGUGUGAUCAAUUCCAAUUUAAAAAAAAAGAAGCAUUGGAGAGAAC
rnacentral:sRNA from 1 species